rnacentral:lncRNA from 1 species
AUGCUUGCCGACUACUCAAUGCCUACGCUUCUUAGUGUAAGGGGUACAUACUCUGUGCCCUCAAACUGUUUUCUCCCUAUACUCAGAAGCUCUACAUGGAGAAAAAGACAAUGCAGCAUUAUGAAUCCUGCAGAAAAAUUAUGGACUCUUAUAACCAGCCCAGCUUUUUCUGCCUGUGAGGACUUCUGUCUUCUGCUUACCAAGACAAGUGAAGCAUUGCCUCUCCUGAGACCACCAAAUACUUCCACUGUGGUACUUGGCAAAUAGCGACUCACAAAAGAGUGACCUGAUGAAAAAAUUACUGUUUAACUGAACAUGUAAAUGAAGGGGUUGGUCCCUUAAGUGUGCUCAGAGAGUAAUAAGUGCAAGGAUACCAGCCAAAACAGAGCAAAAUGGAAUGAAGACAUCCUAAAUGGAUGUAAAUGGCAAUGGAGCCUCACUAGCCAGAACCUGCUGUACCAGAAGACGAGUUUAGCUGAAUACUGGCUUCCUACUGCAUGGAGUGAUUGCCACCAGAAGGAUUUCUGUGCUGUGUUUGAAAGUUAUUGUUUCUUUGCUUUGUACCAUGCCAAAAUACUUUUUUGUUUUUUGUUUUUUAAAAUCCAUGAAGUACAUAGUAUAUCCAGAAAGCAAGAAAACACCACAUUGCAGUAAUAUGCCUUUUCAAAUAAUGACAUACUGUCAAAACACUCCAAUUGGAAAGUUUCCCCUGAAUUAUAUAUUAAGAUAAGGCUUUAUCCUUACUGGUUCGUUUAUACCACACAUACCUUAUGGUCACACCUUCUAUCACAUUAGUAUAAAGGUGCCUUUGCAGAUGGAUUCCUCUUUUCAGAAAUAAGCAUUUCCACAACAAGAUGGUUAACCCGUUACAAGGCUGUACAGUUCAUGUGUAGAUAAGGUUUUAGAGCUCAGAUAGCCUGCCCCUAAGAGUAGGAAUCUCUCCACAUAUUUUUUUUGGAAACAUUUUUUUCUCUCCUCUGUGUUAGUUGUUUGAUAAUGGUCUUGCAAAGACAGCAAAUACGUCUUUCAGGAAGACCAAGAAGGAGAAGCAAGCUGAAACAUGGAAUGAAAAUCAAACACAAAGUGGUCUGAAAAUCUGGGGUGAAUUGAACAGUGAGAAUCAGAGCUGCACCUGGGCUGCUGCAAUACCAAGGCAGCAGUCACAUUUUCCUAGCAGAAUCACUCAGAGCAUGGACUCGAGACCCCCCAGUCCCUCUGCUCUUAGUGGAGAGAGGGUGGUGCUUCAAGGGCAGACCCAGAGGGAGGA